AAUAUUCAAAAUGAAAACAACAAAUAACAGUCGAUUCACUUUUUACUUGUGUUGUACACAACAUGGUCUAGGACACUCUUGCUGAUUAAUAUUAUAUCUUAUUCGCGUAGAACUGAGAUGUCCUUUUACUGGCUUAGUCGAUUUCGCUCUUUAUAUUUCGAAGUAUCUGGGGUUUCGCAGUAUGUGCAUCAUUUCGUUUUUUUGUGACGAACUGAUGGGAAGAUUCAUUUGCUUUAAAUGCAUUUUUAGCAUUUGUUUCGAGCCAAUGCGAAGCUUCUUCCAAGCAAGCCUUGAUGGGAAUCGAUGAUGUUGCGGAGACUUUGUUUGGUGGAUAAAAGGCGGUUCGAUGAAAAUACAAUGCCUAGUGCUUUGGCCUCUAGUUAAUAAUUCCUGCCCAAGCUUUUAAAUUCCAUCCGUUUUGAUAAUAUUCUUCACGAUUCAAUUCUUGGUUAAAAAUACCUUCGUCGAUAAAUAGGAUAUUUUUAGUGAAGUGAAUCGACAACAGAAAUUAGUUUUAGAUCCUCUGCGUAUAGAGGACAGGAGAGUCGGCAAUUUAUGGAAAAUGAAAACAAGAAGGAUCGGAUUGGAAAAAAGGCAGUUAAGACAGAUGUUAUCAAUUAAAUAGAACUUCAAUGAGGUGAGAACAGUAGAUGGAAAGACAUAGGAUCAUAGCUUACUAUGAAGGAGGGGUUGAUCAACGGAAUUACUUUGGAGAAGUCUUAUAAAUUACAUGUAAAUCUUUUUGCGUUCAAAGUCUUCCCAACAAACAAUAACA